GCCCAGAUGGCGGAAUUGGUAGACGCGCUGGUCUCAAACACCAGUGAGGCAACUCGUGCCGGUUCGAUCCCGGCUCUGGGUACCG
rnacentral:tRNA from 1 species